GGGGUCAGCCAAGCCAGUGGGAAGCCUACGACAUUCCCCUGGGUCACUUAGUGAACUCCUACUCUUUCAUCAGGCCUCACUUGAACAUGACUUCCUCCAGAAGCCUUCCCAGACAUCUUUGGAGCUAGAAAGUCAGAAGAGUAGAAUUGGAACCCAGCUCAGUCUGAUGCCACAUCCUUUGUUGUUUCCAUUAAAUCAGAGAAUUUCUUAGUGCUGAGAAACUAUUCUGGAACUUACAACAAAGGCAAGUGGGAAGGGAGUCGCCUGGAAUUUGAUCUCUGUAGAUGCCUUUUUCAUUUAGUUUAUUUUUCAUUUUUAUCUGUUGCUUUGCUCUUAUCAAAUACAGAUAAAUAGCAGCUGCUACUGGUGCUGUUGAUUGCGAUUUCUGUUUGAAAAUGGAAUCUUGAGCAUCUGUUCUCUCCUUUUAUAUUUUACUGUGAGAGAAAAUCUAUUUUUUUCAAAAGGUAAUUCAUACACAUGGUAAAAAUUUAAACAAUAUAAAAACCUAUUUUUAAAAAACAUA
rnacentral:lncRNA from 1 species